UACAGAGGUCCCAAGCGUUGUUCGGAUUCACUGGGCGUAAAGGGUGCGUAGGCGGUCGGGUAAGUCUGAUGUGAAAUCUCACAGCUUAACUGUGAAACUGCAUUGGAUACUAUCCGGCUCGAGGAAUGGAGGGGAGACUGGAAUACUUGGUGUAGCAGUGAAAUGCGUAGAUAUCAGGUGGAACACCAGUGGCGAAGGCGAGUCUCUGGACAUUUCCUGACGCUGAGGCACGAAAGCCAGGGGAGCGAACGG
rnacentral:rRNA from 1 species